UGGCAGAGCUAACAGAUGUCACUGGGGU
rnacentral:piRNA from 1 species